UCAGUUCAUUAGAAAGCAGAA
rnacentral:piRNA from 1 species